GGCUUUGAUGGGUGAUCUGGCUGUAACAUCUGUCACCCUAUUGAUCACCAAGACUGAUUCGGCUAUCUGGCUGGCUAGGCAGCUGUCCCUUUCCUCCCUCAAUGCUCCAUGUGCGUCCCUCCCAAAGCUGUGCACUCAGUCCAAGAGGAUGACCACCUGAUUAGAGGAAGACAUUUCUUCAAUCACGGUUAUACGAGGAGCUGCACUGCCUUGCUAGAACCUCCAACAAGCUCUCAACACACCUCAAAUACUGUUCACAUCUCAGAUGCUAAAAGCAGUGGACAAAAGCUUAAUGAGAAAUAGGAAAUUGCAUAGAUUCAAAAAUAUUCCCUUUAUGUGCUGGG
rfam:Cavia porcellus supercont2_2 genomic scaffold, whole genome shotgun sequence.